GACGUACUCCCUCCGUCCGGAAAUACUUGUCGGAGAAAUGCAUAAAAAUGGAUGUAUCUAGAACUAAAAUACGUCUAGAUACAUCCAUUCCUUCGACAAGUAUUUCCGGACGGAGGGAGUAUUAU
rnacentral:pre_miRNA from 1 species